AGUCAUCGGCUUUCCUUCUGUUUUGGGUUUUUCCUCGCCGGAUUUUCCAUUAAAACCAGCCCAUGCGUUCCACUUCUCAACCCUAGCGUCGCCGUCCCGAUGCUGCAGUACAACGCCGGUAGCCAACUCUUCACGAUGCGAGGCCCUCCCGUCACGCCGCCGCCGCCAGCCCACCUCCUCGUGAUCUAGCCAAUACCUUCCCCCGUGCGGCGUCCCACUCUUCGCGCAGCAGCCCCCAUAGAUGAGUCCCCGAUCCCCUCGCAUGAAUGUUGUCCUGCUCCACGGCCUCCUGCAGCUGGUCCUGCCGUGUGUUGCGGACAUGCAGCAGUCUCCCCGAGGUCCUGCCCCGUUUCGUGUCGCCUCGCCGAGAUCCUACCAGUCUCGCAUCCCCGACGGCCUUCCUUCACGGUUGCAGUUUGAACAGGUCAAAAGAGACGGUGACCAGCAACGGUGUGAGGCGACGGCGGAAGUGUGUCAGUGAUUGUGGCCAUGCUGGGUCCAAGAUGAGGGUGAGGUGCCGCAAGCGGCUAACUUGCCAAGGUAUAUAUCUCUUUAGUUGUGUAAAGGUUUCUACUUUAUAUAUCCAUUUUAGCUGCACAAAUGGUAUUGUCCAUCAGUGUCCAUUGUAUGCUUGAGGAGAAUGUUGGAAUGACAUAACACGGCAAAGUGAGAAACAUAGAAAGCAAGCUGAAAGCUUGAAAACUUCAAAGAUUUUGUGACACUAAAAAAUUAUUUAUACACAUUAAUUUUAGCUUGAAAUUUGAAAGAGUAA